rnacentral:lncRNA from 1 species
AAAAAAAGCAAUGUUACCUUUAAUUUGUGAAAUGUAAUUAACCUUCCUGUAAUGUGUACUGAUGUUGCGUCUUUGUGAGGUUAUCUUUAAUGUUAACAUAACUUACAAAGAUUCUUCAAUUCAGCAUACUUACAAUUUACAUGUUAAAAUAUAUUCUUCUUGUAUAAAAGCUAGGAUGGUACAUUUUUUGUAUGUUUAUGGCUGUUCCACAUUGAACAUGCAUGUUGAGAGGGGGGUUUAUGUAUCAGGAGGUACCAUAAGUGAAAUUUGAUGCAUGGUUGUAAUGUUUGCUUAAAGAAUCACAUACAAUUUGAAUAUGUUUGGAUUUUUUAUGAUGAAAUAUAUCAAUAGAAACACAUUUCAUAUUUUGUUGUAUUAUUUUUUUUCUUUUUUGAACAUCUAUUAAUGAUAAAAUGCCAG